AUUGCUAAAGGAAGGAUUUAUGACAAUGAAUGAACUGAUUAUACAAUAAAAGAGAAGGAAUUGCAGUUAAUUUUGAUGCUACUGAAGUAAUAUAUACUUCUGAUGUCUUCACUUUGCAACAUUAUGGAGUUAAUUUUGAAUUUUCGGGGAAGAGGCAACUGGAAAUUAAUUUGGAAAGGACUGAAACAACAGGUUGUCUGCAGUGGUUUUCCUCUUGGAUUUGGCUUGCCCAUUAAACUUCAACAACAAAAUACUCCUUCCUGCAGUUAAUUAAGAUUAUCGAACAAAUGAGUUCAGUUUAGCUGUACUGAAACGGCCAUGUCUACAUGGGUGUUGUCUUUUCUGGACUUAGUCUUGAUUUGCUAUUUUUGUCUUCACCUCGCAACGUAUGCAGUUAAUUUUCAACCGAUAAGUGGAAGCAACUGGAAACUUAUUUGAACAACAGACUUUCUGCCGUGGUAUUCUGGAUUUGGUUUGCUUUUUACACCUGCAAACAUUGAGAGGUUGCAGUCUACAGUUAAUUAAGGUGAGAAACUUGAUAAUAGUUAAUUUUAAUUGC